GGGCUUGUGGUUUAGUGGUAUAAUACUCCCUUAGCAUAGUCUGAGAACAAUAGAUUCGCAGCAUGAUGUGGGAGUGGUCCGGGGUUCGAUUCCCCGCGAGUCCA